rnacentral:lncRNA from 1 species
AGCGAACUUAACCACUCGGCCACAGGGCCAGCCCCAACCCAGUGAUGACUUUUGCAUGGUAAAAUAAGGCUAGGUUCCAAGGAACUCGUCUCUUAGAAAACACCCAUGAGAACGAUAAACAUGGAAGUUUCUGGUUUCCCAGGCUCAGGGGAGAAAUUGAAGCUGAAGCUGAAGAGGAAGAAGCAGACAAAUGUCUGGAAACCCUCAUAUGCGAAGGGUCUAGAUGUGUUAUGGAGCCCAUUCUUCUGGCAUUUGGAAAGAUUUUACUAAUAAGUUCUUUUAUCCAUUUUACUAUCCAUCAUAAAGCUUUGUAAAAAGUCUGAAGAUACGAUAAAAUACUUUUCUUUUAGAUAGCCCCUUAAGACGCAAGACAUCAAUAUGACUCUGUGGAAGAUGGUGUAGAGCCACUUUAACCUGGCUUACAUCCGCCAUUGAAUUCAGGUUCUACACUAAGGAAAUGAUCCUUUCUCAACAUUUAAACCAGCUAUUAGUGAAGUGGGUCUGCAUUCUGUGUCAAAGCUUUCUAUAGUUUCAUCAUAAUUUGAGAAGCCAUUAAUCUACUGGCAUCUUCUCUAAAGCGAACACUCAGGAUGUCUGCUAAGGAAGUAAAACCCAUGCCAGACUUAAAACGUUCCUAAUCAAUGACAAAUUUAUAAGAAUUUCAGAAAUGCAGGAGUGGGCUUCAUUCCAAGGCUGCUCCCACCCUGGCAGAAAAAUAUAGUGCCUUAACUGUCUGCACUUAUUUAAAAUUUGUCACAUAAACAUACUUGAGUGUUAUUUCUAUUUAAAUUUAUAACAGCUUAAAAUGUAUUUUUAAAAAUAGAAUUCGGCUAACAUCAUACUUAAUGGUGAGAAACUAGAAGCUUUCCUGCUAAGAUCAGGAACAAAGCAAGAAUGUUCCCUCUCACCACUCCUUUUCAACAUUGGACUGGAAGUCCUAGCUAAUGAAAUAAGACAAGAAAAGGAAAUAAAACAUAUACAAAUUGAGAAGGAAGAAAUAAAACUGGCUUUGUUCACAGAUGACAUAAUUAUCCAGGCAGAAAAUCCAACAGAAUUGACAAAAAGACUCCCAGAACUAAGAACUGAUUAUGACAAGGUUGCAGGAUUCAACAUUAAUCUAGAAAAGUCAAUUGUUUUCCUAUAUACUAGCAAUAAGCUAGUAGAAUUUGAAAUUAAAAACACAAUGCCACUUACAAUAUUACCCCCCCAAAAUGAAAUACUUGAGUAUAAAUCUGAUGAAAUAUGUACAAGACCUAUAUGUAGAAAACUACAAAACUCUGAUGAAAGAAACCAAAGAAGAACUAACUAAAUGGAGAGAUAUUCCAUUUUCAUGGAUAGGAGGACUCAUUAUUGUCAAGAUGUUAGUCCUUCUUGACUCAAUCUAUGGGAUUCAACAUAAAUGUAAUCAAAAUUCCAGCAAGUUAUUUUACAGAUAUCAACAAAUUGAUUCAAAAGUUUACAUGCAUUGGAAAAAAAUCCACAAUAGCCAACACAAUACUGAAGGAGAACAACAAAGUCAAAAGAGCAACCCUACCCAACCUCAAGCUACAAUAUAUAAAAGCUACAAUAUAAAGCUUAUAUAAAGCUACAAUAAUCAAUAUAGUGAGGUAUUGGUGAAAGAAUAACAAAUAGAUUAAUGGAACAGAAUAUAGAGCCCAGAAAUAGACUCCCAUAAAUAUAGUGAACUGAUUUUUGACAACGGAGCAAAGGCUUUGACAAUGGAAUAAAGAUAAAUUCUUUUCAACAAACGAUGCUAGAACACAGAGCACAUCCACAUGCAAAAAAGGAAAUCUAGGCAUAAACUUUACACCCUUCACAAAAAUUACUUCAAAAUGGAUCAUAAACCUAAAUAUAAAAUGUGAAACUGUAAAAGUCAGAGAAGAUAACAUAGGAGAAAAAUCUAGGUGACUUCGAGUAUGGUGAUGACUUUUUAGACACACCAAAGGCAUGAUCCACUAAAGAAAUAAUUCAUAAACUGAUCUUCUUAAAAUUAAAAACUUCCUCUCUUCAUAGGACAUAUUCAAGAGAAUGAGAAGACAAACUACAAACUGAAAGAAAAUAUUUGCAAAAUGCAUAUCUGAUGAAGGACUAUUAUCCAAAAUACACAUAGAACGCUUAAAAUGCAACAAUAAGAAUAUGAACAAUCCCACUUUUAAAAAGGCCAAAGAUCUUAACAGACACCUCACUAAAGAAGACAUACAGGUGGCA